CCUACGGGCGGCUGCAGUGGGGAAUAUUGCACAAUGGGCGCAAGCCUGAUGCAGCCAUGCCGCGUGUGUGAAGAAGGCCUUCGGGUUGUAAAGCACUUUCAGCGGGGAGGAAGGCGUUAAGGUUAAUAACCUUGGCGAUUGACGUUACCCGCAGAGGAAGCACCGGCUAACUCCGUGCCAGCAGCCGCGGUAAUACGGAGGGUGCAAGCGUUAAUCGGAAUUACUGGGCGUAAAGCGCACGCAGGCGGUCUGUCAAGUCGGAUGUGAAAUCCCCGGGCUCAACCUGGGAACUGCAUUCGAAACUGGCAGGCUAGAGUCUUGUAGAGGGGGGUAGAAUUCCAGGGGUAGCGGUGAAAUGCGUAGAGAUCUGGAGGAAUACCGGUGGCGAAGGCGGCCCCCUGGACAAAGACUGACGCUCAGGUGCGAAAGCGUGGGGAGCAAACAGGAUUAGAUACCCCAGUAGUC
rnacentral:rRNA from 1 species